CUGCAAGUCGGCCAGGUACAUUCUCACGGCUGCCACCUCCUCGCAUCCUGUGAAUGCUGAAUCUCCUGCACGGAUUCUAUCCUUUUCUUACCUUUUCUCUCCUAUUAUUGUUCCUUAAAAAAGUGGGGAGAUCUUCUUAGCUUUGUGUUCAGAUCAUUUUAUUUACUCUAAUAUUUAAAUUUCCAAGUGUUCUCUCUUGUUUGUGGAGUCUUUUUCCACGAACAAGAGCUUCUUGUUUGCCAUCCGUAAUACCGUCCCUUCUCUCUGAAGGCAGGUGAAGGUUUUGGAAGUUUACUUCACUCCCUGCUAUGCCUCUGCUUACUCCACGUUUCCUUUCUGUGUUUGCCUCGAUCUUUCUCUUUCAUGUUAAAACCUUUCCUCAUAAGUCUGAUAACCCUUGGUUGCCUGUCAUUGAAGAGAGUGCCACUAACCAGCUCAUUGGAAGCUGUGAGGGAGAGGGCUGCAUUUGAUCCUGGCAGGUGGAGGAACCCCCAGGUAUCAGUACUAGGAGGUCUUUCCUCUCAGCCCACUGGGCUUCCCUAAAGAGUCCUUCAACGCGGCUGAGAUCAGGCAUCUGGGCGCUGAGUACAGGAAGGGGGUUAUGGUUCAGUCAUCCCGAAUGCAGAUUUUCACACAACGCCUGCUAUCGCCAGGACAUGCCUCACCCUCUGCCCUAAAUAACACAGAACCCAGAUCCAAACCCUUCCUGGGUUUAUCCAGAGUCAACCUCAAACCCUAGGCUGCGGAGUCUCUUUCCUAGAGGGAAAACACUGUUUCUGUUUUCAGCUCCACACAUGAGCUCUUUUUUCAGAGGACCGGGCCCUCUGUUGUGUGACUGGGAACGUGCUGUCUUCCUCUAAAUCAGACAGGCAUCUGCAAAGGCUUUUUACUUAUCUGAAUGACUCCUGUUGGAAUAUUAGCCAUGAAAAAGAUAACAUGUUUGAAAUGGUUCCAAAUUUCUUUAAGAGAAAGAGAAAGAAAAUCAUCUGUUGACUCUGCUCUUCACUCAGGGGCGGAGGCUCCAGGACCAGUCUGAGGAGUAAAUACUGCUGGGCGCUUAAACUCAUUGGUGUUGGGAACUCGGUGACGCUAUACGGCACAGAGGGGCCGGACAGAGCCGGGGGAAGAGGAGCUGGCCUGUCUCCUCAUUGUCACACACUGUCCCGCCGUGGAGGACUCAGCCUGUCUGGUGACCACAGAGGUAGUGAAGCGGUUGCCAGGGACCACAGCAGGAGUGGCGUUUCUCCGUGAAGACAGUGCUUAGCAGGAAGGACUGAGAGCGCGUCCCACGGGGGUACUGGCAGGUGUAGGAUUCCAUCAGAGCCAACGCUAUCAUUUGCGCUUUAAGCCUAGCAUUUGGGGAACUGGGAUAGCACAUCCCCUCCCCUCCCUGUUGCUUAGCAACAGGCUUCUUUCUCAUUCCCAGCAGGUCCAAAGGGGCCCAGUUUUGAAGGUAGGAGGCAAGGAGUGGGGGGAAAUGAGGCUGUCUGCUGGAUCCUGAGAUUCAAAGACACACCUGCAGCCCACACUGGUGGGGAGGCUCAGAAUGCCCACCUCCUGGGGCCUCUGCGCUGGACAUUGGGUCACGGAAGCCCCCCUUUCCUGAGUUGUUCUGUGGGACUCCAAAGAGUCUCUUGCCAAGCUCUUUGACAGUUGGCAUCCCAUCUGAAUAGCCCCAUGUGCCAGUCUAGGGCCUCUGAGACGCAGAUGCCAAGAGGGGAUUAAAAGUGCCACGAUUUUGUUAGGGGAAAUGCCCAGAUGAGGAAAGCCAGAGGGAGCCUAUCUGAGAAGCUGUCAGACCGGGACUCAGGGCUGACCCUGAGGGAAGGAGGAAGCGCAGGUUUAGAGGACGCAUUCUAGACUGUGUGGAGUCUAAGGAAGACUCCAUGGCCAUGCAAGAGUGCCCCAGCCGAAGGCACCCAUGGAGGAGCCCACCGCUCCCGGGGCAGCCUCCCUUCAUGUCCUCCUGUGUCACUUCGGAGGACAGCUCCUUUGGCCUUGGACACUUCCUCUCCCCGAGUUUCGCAGGCUGCAGGGCGUGUUCUCCUGUUGUCCGCAUCCAAGCCUGCUCAGAGGUAGGGUUAGGUGAACCUGGGGCUUGGGAAUAUUCCACUGGGGGGAUAGGGAGGCCUGCAAAGGUAGGCAGAGGGCCACACUGUGAGGGGUUCAGAAGAGAGGGCCUGUGGACAGAGGGGGCAAAUCCAGGGAUGGGGAGCAGUGGCGAGGACGUGCAUGCCCACAGGAGGCCACAUGUGAAGGGGGAAGGCCAGGAUUAGCAGUAGCAUGGACUCCCCAUCUGCUGCUGUUUUCCCGCCGUGUUAGAGCUCCCUAGUGUGGGUCUUUUCCAAUCUCGCUUCACGUGGGAACCCUCCCAUAAGUGGCUUCACUUACACCUGUGUCUCGUUCUGUCUGGGCUGCUAUAACAAAUUAUCUGUGGGUGGGUAAUUUCUAAACCACAGACAGUUCUGGAGGCUGGAAGUCCAAGACUGAGGUACAGGCAGGUUUGAUGUCUGGUGAGGGCCUUGACUGGUGCAUCACAUGGUGGAAGGCAGAGGAACAGAAAGUGGAAAACACUGUCCUCCCAGCAGAAGAGAAUGAACCUCCUUCCUCGAGCCCUUUGAUAAGGGCCCUAACCCCACCUGGCAGGGCUCCACCCUCAUGACUUAAUCGCCUCCUAGAGGUCCCACCUCUUAAAACUAUCACAUGGGGAUUACAUUUCAACAUAUAAAUUUUGCCAGACACAUUCAGACCAUAGCAACCUACUAGGUUCUUUUUCCUUAUCUAUAACAACUGAUUAUGCUUAUAAAUAUUGGCAAGCAAAA